UGCGGGAUGGAGCAGUCUGGUAGCUCGUCGGGCUCAUAACCCGAAGGUCGUUGGUUCAAAUCCAGCUCCCGCUA
rfam:Caenorhabditis remanei strain PB4641 contig3781.2, whole genome shotgun sequence.